rnacentral:rRNA from 1 species
GACGAACGCUGGCGGCGUGCUUAACACAUGCAAGUCGAACGGUAAGGCCCUUCGGGGUACACGAGUGGCGAACGGGUGAGUAACACGUGGGUGAUCUGCCCUGCACUUCGGGAUAAGCCUGGAAAACUGGGUCUAAUACCGGUUAGGACCCUGGGAUGCAUGUCCUGGGGUGGAAAGCUUUUGCGGUGUGGGAUGGGCCCGCGGCCUAUCAGCUUGUUGGUGGGGUGAUGGCCUACCAAGGCGACGACGGGUAGCCGGCCUGAGAGGGUGACCGGCCACACUGGGACUGAGAUACGGCCCAGACUCCUACGGGAGGCAGCAGUGGGGAAUAUUGCAUAAUGGGCGCAAGCCUGAUGCAGCGACGCCGCGUGAGGGAUGACGGCCUUCGGGUUGUAAACCUCUUUCAGCACCGACGAAGCGCAAGUGACGGUAGGUGCAGAAGAAGGACCGGCCAACUACGUGCCAGCCGCCGCGGUAA